rnacentral:rRNA from 1 species
UACAGAGGGUGCAAGCGUUAAUCGGAAUUACUGGGCGUAAAGCGCGCGUAGGCGGUUAGGUUAGUUGGAUGUGAAAGCCCCGGGCUUAACCUGGGAAUUGCAUUCAAUACUGCCUGACUAGAGUUUAGUAGAGGGAGGUAGAAUUUCCGGUGUAGCGGUGAAAUGCAUAGAGAUCGGAAGGAAUAUCAGUGGCGAAGGCGGCCUCCUGGACUAAAACUGACGCUGAGGUGCGAAAGCGUGGGGAGCAAACAGG